GGACUAUUUAAAAAAUAAAUGUUCAGGAUGUUUUCUUACACUGACUGCACAGAAAGAGAAGGCAAAGUAAACCUAUCCCAUAUACACCUCAGCCCAGGCCCUAUGCCUGGUCAGUAUUGUGAAUAGAGAGACAUGG
rnacentral:snoRNA from 1 species